rnacentral:rRNA from 1 species
UACGUAGGUGGCAAGCGUUGUCCGGAUUUACUGGGCGUAAAGAGCGCGCAGGCGGUCGUUCAAGUCGCGUGUGAAAGCCCCCGGCUCAACUGGGGAGGGUCACGCGAUACUGAUCGACUCGAAGGCAGGAGAGGGUAGUGGAAUUCCCGGUGUAGUGGUGAAAUGCGUAGAUAUCGGGAGGAACACCAGUGGCGAAGGCAGCUUGCUGGGACGGUACUGACGCUGAGGCGCGAAAGCGUGGGGAGCAAACAGG